UCCGAAUUAAAAAGUGCAUUUAAAAAAAAAACUUUUGGCAGAAAGGUUAUAGAUUUUUCUUUAUCUUGUUUCAAGCAGAUUUUUAAAUCAGUAGUAAAUGUUUAUUUCAAGUUUACUGCGUGGUUAAUUGUUAUUCAUCAUACAUCAUGCAUUUCAGAAUUUAAUAGCACUAUUGACAUUUCUGGAGUUUGGCUUGCUCUUUUAUGGUAACUGUGACUGGAUGAAAAUGUUUCUCCAUUUGCUUGCUUGACUGAUAAGUUUGGGCACUUUAAGCAACCAUUUAUUUACAGACAGAACAUCAAAUGUCUUUUUGAUAAUAUUGUCUGACUGCUUACCACAUGGUGUAAUUUGUAGCACUAGUGGGUAUUUAAUUAUGAUCUUCCAUGUUUUUUUUUUUUUUCUGGCAAGAUUUCCUGCUGCUGAUGAACAUGAUGAACUUUACCACCUUCUUCAGUGAGAACAGUGCUUGCAAACGCGUCCAGUGAGCCACAUCUGUUGAUCUGGAAGCCUCUGUUAUUGAUGGAUCCCCUGGGAGCAACUAAAACACAAAUGGUGUGAAACUGGCAAUGGCAUUCAGCUGUUAGCUGAUUACAUUGAUUCCAUUUAUUUGUGACCGUUUUCCAGUCACUUCACUCCUGAAGGAGAACCACCCAUGAUGCGCCACCAGCUCCUGAUGUUGCCACCAUUUUUUCCGGAGCAACAGAUGUUUGUAGCAGCUCCGCCGGACUAAUUAUCCAUCCCGGUCAUCCUCUUUGUGUAGUACGUGCACGUGUAUGUGUUCAACUUUCUGUUAUGCUUUAACACAACAGUAGGAUUUAGCAGUAAUUAUCCCGAAACACACCCCUCUUGCCUCUGCCAUUGUCUUGAUGUCUGAGCAACAUAGCCGUCAUUAAUCAAACGAUUCAACACAGGCCUGAACUGGUUAACCUGCACCGCCCAGCCCUGGUUACUGAGGAAGUUUUCAAUUCCCUCUGGUCAAUCACAAGGACACAAGAGUGCAACAAUGGGUUGGUUAUGAAUGGAAAUUAAAAUAAGAUGCAACUAUUCAGUGGAUUCCAGCAAUGCAACGUUAAGUUUUGGUAGGUCUGAACAAAGUGUUAAAUUUGCUGAGUAGGAAGGCUGAAAUUGAAAAUUAGACAGCACGGGUUAUUUGCUUAGCUUUAAUACUGAAA
ensembl:lncRNA